rnacentral:rRNA from 1 species
AGCAUAUUAAUAAGCGGAGGAAAAGAAACUAACAAGGAUUCCCUCAGUAACGGCGAGUGAAGCGGGAAGAGCUCAAAUUUGAAAUCUCCGGUGCUUGCAUCGGCGAGUUGUAGUUGCGAGAAGCACUUUCUAGGUGGAUCGGCGGUGCCUAAGUUGCUUGGAACAGCACGUCGCAGAGGGUGACAACCCCGUCUGUGGCGCCGCCGGCCGCUGACGAUGUGCUUUCGAAGAGUCGGGUUGUUUGGGAAUGCAGCCCAAAAUGGGUGGUAAACUCCAUCUAAAGCUAAAUACUGGCGUGAGACCGAUAGCGAACAAGUACCGUGAGGGAAAGAUGAAAAGAACUUUGAAAAGAGAGUUAAAAAGUACGUGAAACCGUCGGAAGGGAAACGAAUGGACUCAGCAAUGCGCCCUCUGAGAUUCAGCCGCGUGGGUGGCGUCGGCGCGGGGUUUGCGGAUCUGAAUGGACCGCGGCCCGGCGCUCGCUGCUCCCCGCCGUCGCACUUCUCUGGGGCGCGCGUCAACGUGGGUUGGGACUGGGUCUGAAAGGUGCCGGGAAGGUAGGUGUGGGCCUUCGGGUCCGUUCUGUUACAGCCCGGUUCUCUCAUGGCUCGGGCCCGACCGAGGAGCAGACAGGGCAUGCCUCCUGUGGCUAGGGUCCCGUCCUUCCGGCCGGCUGUCCAGUGUGGUGGACUGCUUGCAGUGCUCUGCGACGGCUGCCGGUCGUUGGGGUGGUGAUCUCGUACCAUGCCCUUGGGAUGUUGGCGGUC